GUCGGGAUGGUUCAAUGGCCAGAAUUCACGCUUUUUAGGCGUGAGAUGCAUGGUUCGAUUCCUGCUCCCGGCG